rnacentral:rRNA from 1 species
UCAGGAUGAACGCUGACAGAAUGCUUAACACAUGCAAGUCGAUUCGAUUUACCUUCGGGUAUUGAGGAUGGCGGACGGGUGAGUAACGCGUAAGGAACUUGCCUCUUGGUCUGGGACAACUGUUGGAAACGACAGCUAAUACCGGAUAUUAUGAGAUUCUCGCAUGGGAAACUUAUGAAAGCUAUAUGCGCCAAGAGAGAGCCUUGCGUUCCAUUAGCUAGUUGGUGGGGUAACGGCCCACCAAGGCGACGAUGGAUAGCCGGCCUGAGAGGGUGAACGGCCACAAGGGGACUGAGACACGGCCCUUACUCCUACGGGAGGCAGCAGUGGGGAAUAUUGGACAAUGGACCAAAAGUCUGAUCCAGCAAUUCUGUGUGCACGAUGAAGGUCUUCGGAUUGUAAAGUGCUUUCAGUUGGGAAGAAGCAAGUGACGGUACCAACAGAAGAAGCGACGGCUAAAUACGUGCCAGCAGCCGCGGUAAUACGUAUGUCGCAAGCGUUAUCCGGAUUUAUUGGGCGUAAAGCGCGUCUAGGCGGAAAAAUAAGUCUGAUGUUAAAAUGCGGGGCUCAACUCCGUAUUGCGUUGGAAACUGUUUUUCUAGAGUACUGGAGAGGUGGGCGGAACUACAAGUGUAGAGGUGAAAUUCGUAGAUAUUUGUAGGAAUGCCGAUGGAGAAGUCAGCUCACUGGNACAGAUACUGACGCUGAAGCGCGAAANCGUGGGGAGCAAACAGGAUUAGAUACCCUGGUAGUC